UUGUUUAGUCUGGGACAGGAGUAGGAAGGAUAUAGAGAACUUGUGGGACAGGAGUAGGACGGAUAUUGAGAACUUGUGGGACAGGAGUUGGACGGAGAUAAAGAACUAUGUUAAGCUGGGGAGGAGCACUGGGAGCCUCCCAACCCAACCCGAGGAGGGACCAGGAGAAGGGUUGCAAUGCAGAUCAGAACUUGUUAAAUCUUCAAAGGAAAGAGGAACUUAUUCUCAGCAAGCAAGUGAGACAAGGCACUGUGGUGAUACUAGGGGGACAGAAUAUCAGGGUAAGUGAGACAAGGCACUGUGGUGAUACUAGGGGGACAGAAUAUCAGGGAGUCCAGCCCUUUUGUACACUAUGAGAAAGUGAGCCGACAGAACUCCAAGAAACCUGCUCAACCCAGAGAAAACAAACCACCUGCCCCAAACCCAGAGGCUAUUAGGAAGGCGUCUAAUCCAAUUGCAUUAAGAUACUGGAAUCAAUGUUUGCAAACCCAGAACUCUACUCCAGACACAUCAAAAAACACCGAAACUGUUCCUGCUC
rnacentral:misc_RNA from 1 species